rnacentral:rRNA from 1 species
GAUGAACGCUGGCGGCGUGCUUAACACAUGCAAGUCGAACGGUGACGAGGAGCUUGCUCCUCUGAUCAGUGGCGAACGGGUGAGUAACACGUGAGCAACCUGCCCCAGACUCUGGGAUAACAGUUGGAAACAGCUGCUAAUACCGGAUACGAGACGGAGAGGCAUCUCUACCGUCUGGAAAGUUUUUCGGUCUGGGAUGGACUCGCGGCCUAUCAGCUAGUUGGUGAGGUAAUGGCUCACCAAGGCGACGACGGGUAGCCGGCCUGAGAGGGCGACCGGCCACACUGGGACUGAGACACGGCCCAGACUCCUACGGGAGGCAGCAGUGGGGAAUAUUGCACAAUGGGCGAAAGCCUGAUGCAGCGACGCCGCGUGAGGGAUGACGGCCUUCGGGUUGUAAACCUCUUUCAGCAGGGAAGAAGCGAAAGUGACGGUACCUGCAGAAGAAGCACCGGCUAACCUACGUG